UUAAGGUUUUAAUAAAAUGGUCAAGUGAAAUUAAUAGUAAAGCUUUCUUUGAUUUUAUUAGGGAGACGGGGCUGAUAAAUAGAAUAUAAAUCUCUGUCUAUUUCACACUCCGGAGCAGAAGGUGGCGGUAAAGCACCUAUUACGCUGGUUGCCAGCCGCCGUUAAAAACCAAGAAGAAGAAGAAGAAGAAGAAGAAGAGUCUUUGCUCAGUCUUUGCCUUGGUUUUGGCUUUGUGAUUCCAUGAGAACUUCACAGUGGACAAAUUUUGAGUCUGUAUGGCAUCCAGAAGUGACACCCAGCAACAAGAGAUGACUACAAAACAGAAACUGGCGAUGAGAGUUAUAGUUUGUGAAGGGGACAUAAGGAAGAUGACCAUGACUGCUCAGCCAAAUACAGGUGAGGAUUUAAUAGACUGGCUCAAGAGAUCAAUUGGAGCUGAUUACAACUUCACUUUACAGUAUGAGGACCCUGAAUUGAAUAAUGCGCUGUGUAACCUGACAGACAUUUCUGACCUCCCAGAGAAACCAACCAUCCAAAUUAUUCCUGUCCUUGACCUCAGCCCAGUGACUCAAUGUGAAAUUGGCAGUGAGACAAGCAGCUAGGCAGACACAGAGAUCUUGUCUAUCUCAUCCUUAGACAGACGCAGAGAGUGGCCUGAUGUAUUUGAAAUUCCAAAGUUUUCUGUAGAUGUGGAAUACAGACUACGUCAAAGCAACCUGAUGUAUCUUCAUGAUGGAACUUACCUCAAAGUGACAAAGGAGCUGAAGCAUGACAUUCUUGAGAAACUGGCAGAGACAAUCUAUGGCUAUAAAACAUACCCAACAAAUAAGGAGUUUGAAGUUGUUGCAAAUGCCUUGGUAGCAGAACACCCCUGUCUUAAAGAAAGAGGCUCAUCAUCUUGCUGUGGGGGAUGGAAGAACAGUCUGAAAUUCAAAAUGGGUAAUUACAGAACUAAAAUGCACCAGUUGGGUCGGCUUGAUAUCACAGUUAAUGGUGGUAAACGUGGAAAAAACAAUGCUGAUGGUGAACCUGCACACAAAAACAUAAAGAAGCCAAGGAAAGGUGAAAUUAAUUACCAGAUUUCCCAGAGGGAAUGGAUGGAACUAGCCUUGAAGCUGUUCGAGAGGUCAUGGUCAAAAAAAUGAUGAAGAAAAACCCAGAUGAUGCUCUUAUUAAAAGAAACAUGGACAUCACAUUUGCCCUUAGAAGAGACGAGGUUGUAAAGGAUAAGCCUGACAUUAGCCAGAUGGUCCGACGUUGGCCAGCCCUUUUUACAGAA